rnacentral:lncRNA from 1 species
ACUCUUCGGGAAGCCAUUGAAGCUCAUCAUCAGAACUUCAAUCAGCCUGUGCUAAGCUCCAUCAUCAAUACACGCUUUACUUCUAAUUCACUGGCACCUCUUAAUUCUCUCAUACUAAAAUAAACUAAGAUACACAUAGAAGAAGAAGAAAUCGAAGAAGAAGGAGAAUUCUGAGACAAAGAGAAGAAGGAUUCAAAGACUUAGAGCAUCACACUUGUGUUCCGACGUCAUCUCCGGUGAGUACUUUUCAUUUCUCUUCAGCAUUUUGGUUCAUCCUAGUUGCCAUGAUGUAGAGUUUGGUCGGAGGAGUCAUAGCCCUAACCUCUAAGGCCUUGAUUCCGAAGUUUGAGAAUGUAAUUUCGAUUUUAGUUUCUAGGGUUCUUAAACACUUUGCUCUGAUUCAGAUUGUCAAGGAAGA